UACGUAGGGUGCGAGCGUUGUCCGGAAUCAUUGGGCGUAAAGAGCGUGUAGGCGGUUCGGUAAGUCGGCUGUGAAAGUCCAGGGCUCAACCCUGGGAUGCCGGUCGAUACUGCCGGACUAGAGUUCGGAAGAGGCGAGUGGAAUUCCCGGUGUAGCGGUGAAAUGCGCAGAUAUCGGGAGGAACACCUAUGGCGAAGGCAGCUCGCUGGGACGUUACUGACGCUGAGACGCGAAAGCGUGGGGAGCAAACAGG
rnacentral:rRNA from 1 species